rnacentral:rRNA from 1 species
AGCAGCCGCGGUAAUUCCAGCUCCAAUAGCGUAUAUUAAAGUUGUUGCAGUUAAAAAGCUCGUAGUUGAAUUUCGGGGUCAGUAGGCUGGUCGUGCCACCGGUACGUACUGGUCUCACUGAUUCCUCCUUCCUGAAGAACCGUAAUGCCAUUAAUUUGGUGUUGCGGGGAAACAGGACUGUUACUUUGAAAAAAUUAGAGUGUUUAAAGCAGGCUAACGCUUGAAUACAUUAGCAUGGAAUAAUGAAAUAGGACGAUCGAUCCUAUUUUGUUGGUUUCUAGGAUUGACGUAAUGAUUAAUAGGGAUAGUUGGGGGCAUUAGUAUUCAAUUGUCAGAGGUGAAAUUCUUGGAUUUAUUGAAGACUAACUACUGCGAAAGCAUUUGCCAAGGAUGUUUUCAUUAAUCAAGAACGAAAGUUAGGGGAUCGAAGACGAUCAGAUACCGUCGUAGUCUUAACCAUAAACUAUGCCGACUAGGGAUCGGAUGAUGUUAAUUUUAUAAUGACUCAUUCGG